rnacentral:rRNA from 1 species
UACGUAGGGUGCGAGCGUUAAUCGGAAUUACUGGGCGUAAAGCGUGCGCAGGCGGUUCGUUGUGUCGGCGGUGAAAUCCCUCGGCUCAACCGGGGAACUGCGUCCGAUACUGGUGGGCUCGAAUCCGGGAGAGGGAUGUGGAAUUCCAGGUGUAGCGGUGAAAUGCGUAGAUAUCUGGAGGAACACCUGUGGCGAAGGCGGCCCCCUGGUUGGAUACUGACGCUGAUACGCGAAAGCGUGGGGAGCAAACAGGG